rnacentral:lncRNA from 10 species
AGCUCUAUAUCUUUACUAUUUUUUUUAUUUUUUGAAACAUGGUCUCAUUCUGUCACCCAGGCUGGAGUGCAGUGGUGCAGUCAUGGCUCACUGUAGCCUCUACCUCCCAGGCUUCAGGAAAUCCACCUGCUUUAGCCUCCUGAGCAGCUGGGUCCACAGGUGCAUGCCACCAUGCCUGGAUAAUUUUUUAAAAUUAUUUGUAGGGGUGGGGGUCUUGCUAUGUUGUCCAGGCUGGUCUCAAACUCGUAACCUCAAGCCAUCCUCUCACCUUGGCCCCCUCAAAGUGCUGGGAUUACAGACAUGAGCCACUAUGCCCAGCCUAUUAUUUUUUAAUGAGUUGUUUCAUUCCUUACUGAGAGGGAUAUUAAAAUCUUCAAUUCAGGUUAUAAAUUUAUAUAUUUCUUUUUUACUUCCAUCAGUAUCUGCUUCAUAUAUUUUGAGGUUCUUAUUAAGUACAUACAAAUAUAAACUGCCAUGUCUUAUUUUAAUCCUGAAAUUUUUAUGGUUUUUAUUUAUCUGUUGAAAUUUUUAAUCUGCUUACACAUAUUGUUCACCUUUUCCAUUAAUCCUUUAUUUAUGAUUAUUGUUUUAUAGCAUAUCUCUGCUAACUCUAUAAGCUGCAUCUUUGGAUCUGAUUCUUUGGACAAUUUUUUAUCUUGAAAAUGGUCACAUUUUGUUGCCUCUUUUGUCUCUUUAAUUUAAAAAAUUAUAUUUUGUAAGUUCCAUUAAAAGAAUAAUUGAGAAUUAAAUAUGAUAGAUACUAUUUGCCUUGAAAAGAGUGAGAAGCUGAAUCGGUGAUAUCUGCAACUGGGCUGAGUCUGGGCUUUGUUGCAGCUUUUAUUAUAUUCAGUUCUCCUCUGGCUUUGAGGGAAAGAUAAAGAUUUUUAUCUUCUAAGCAAAAUUUACAGUUUGAGCAUUGGUGAAAUUCUGAGGGUCUCUCUAUGCAUGACAGCCGGCCUCAGGAGAUGGCGCCAUCCUGCUGCAGCAGGGACAGACUUUGACUUGCUGCCACUUUGCAUGCAGUAAAGGCCCAUGGUGCCUUAGGGUCUCAAGCAGCUUCCCUGCACUCCCCAGGCCUUCAGCAGGGCCCUGCCUUGUGGUUAGUAAAGGUUCUAUGCACAGUAGCUGCUUACUCAGUCCUCCUGUCUCACCCUCCGUCUUUGUUGCUGCUACUGUGCACACGGGAAAGGUCUAGGACAAAGAUUCGGUGGGUAGGUGUGGGUUUGCUGUGUGACUGGAGAUCCUCAGAAUUCCAAACUAUCAUGUCAGCUUCACAUGACUGAUAAGAGCAGUUUUUUGUUUGUUUAAGUUUGGUCACAUCAAUCAUACCAUACAUUGGGGUAAAGAGAAACUUAUCAAGGAUAAAAGUAGCCAUGGGCCCUUCUCUUCCUGGAAGGGCUUGUCUCUUAUUGAAAAUUAAUUAAUUUAAGUUUCUCUGUGUUCUUGGUUCUCAAUUGCUUUUGAAAACACCUAUGAUUGGCCAGGUGCGGUGGCUCACACCUGUAAUCUCAGCACUUUGGGAGGCUGAGGCAGGUGGAUUACCUGGGGUCAGGAGUUCAAGACCAGCCUGGCCAACAUGGUGAAACCCUGUCUCUACUAAAAUACAAAAAAAAAUUAGCCAGGCAUGCUGGCACACUCCUGAGGUCCUGGCUACUCAAGAGGCUGAGGCAGGAGAAUCACUUGGACCUGGGAGGCAGAAGUUGCAGCAAGCUGAGAUCAUGCCACUGCACUCCAGCCUGGGCAACAGAGUGAGACUCUGUCUCAAAAAAUAAAAAUAAAAACACCUAUGAUUAUAUAACUUAUCUGGACCACGCGUACUUUUAGGGCAGGAGCAACAGUCUCCGGCCAUUUACUAUAACCUGAUGACAUGCUUAUGCAAUGCUUUGCUUAGUGUCUAAGACAUGGAUGUGAAUAAAGUAUCCCUGUGAUGAGAAAGGAAUAAAAAUGGAUUUAUGUAGUUAUCCAGGUAAAUGUUUAAUUUCAAUCAGUUUUACAAACCUUUAAGAAUAAAAUUGUCUUUGCUAUGUAACAUGUGCCCAUUCCUAAGGGCUUCCAGAUAAAGUGAUGUGGAUGCUGUACUGCUCAAAGUUUCCAAGCCAAGCAGACAAAUGGGACUUGAAAUACAGCCUCAGCUUUGUUUUCCAAUUUAACUUCUCAAAGGAUAACCUGUUUUUUAUUCACACAAUGGUCCCAUUUACAAGGGCCUGCUACGACCCCCAUGUUGCCAACCUCUGUGGAUAAAUAAGUCCUCUCCCAUAAGCAAUAAAUAUGCACUAUCUUUCUCUCUCCUACUGUUUGUCUGUCUCUUAUUAAUAUAGAGAAUAUAAAUUGUGCUGUACCAAUCAAUAACAUCCAAUCUACCAUUACCAUGCCAAGACCUGCACUCAUUACUUGAGACUUGCUUUCUCAAGUAAUGAAAGUUCUCCAAACUCAGAAACAAAGUAGAAAAUGCCUGAAAUAUUCUGGCUUGAUUUUUCAAAAAACUGAAACUUUUUUACUCAAUGUUAAUAUUCAUCUCUUCCUUCCAAUAGAAAUUUUCUGCUGAUUUUCUUGAUUGUGAUAUACCUCAGCACUUGACUUGCUGAAUAAGACAACUGUGGCAAUUAUGACUACUGACAAGAAUAUUGUGUAAAUGAUCAAGAAUAACUUGUUAUAUAUCUAGACCAGAUAUAUAUGAAAGAGAAAAUUGACAAAGGUGGAGCAAGUAUCCCAGCUAUUAAUGUGAAAAAAAAAAAGGAAAAAUGAGUAGCAGAAAUCAAAGUUUAAAAGGAGGACUAACUUUAAGCAAAGUGAAGCAGUUUUGUUAUGAUGGUGAGAUGAACCUCAACAGAGGGAAAGCAGAAAAAAAAAAAUGGUGGAAAAAUGAGAAGGCAAUGCAGCAGGCCCAAAACAACAGCAUUCUAGAUCUUGAAGAUACAGUCUCUUUCUGUAAUGAACUCAAAUAAAUGACGAUGAAAAUGUAGUGUGAAAGAUUUCCAGUUUCACCUCCAGCAUGUGAAGAGCUUGGAAGUCAUCGCUCUUUUUCUUACAGCAGGAAAAAUCUGGACAAAGUGAAAAUCAAUGACUCUUACUGAACUUAUUAGAGAAGUGAGAUAGUAGGGCAACCUCUCCCCAGAUUCUGGAGAAACAUAUAGGGAGUCACAGCUGAAAUCUGUUACCUGGAGCAGAAGUUAAAACUGGCAAACACACUUAAAUUCAACACUUAAACAUUUUGAUGAAUCCAUUAAUCAAGCUGGAUGCUGAGUAUGACGAGCAUAAGAAUAAUAAACGUCUUGAAACCACACUAUUGGAGGUGGAAUGCAGCCACACUUCCUUGAGCUUUACUUCUGAGAACUCCACCAAGUUCACAUGAUGAAGAUCUGGGAAAAAUGCACAUAUGACUCUGGCAGAGAGAUAAACUAUAUAAUAUGCCCAGAGUAGUUUCCACAACACAAGCCUGCUUUCUAGAGGAAAAUAUUUUGCCAGAAAUUUAUCCAGCAGGUAGAAGGGAUCUCUUUCCACUCCAACACCCUCUAGUUUCCUUUCUCACCUACUAGGGAAAAAGUACAUGUAAGUGGAAUACCAGAGGAAGAAGAGAUAUCUGAGCAGAAGAAAUAGUUGAAGUAAUAAUGUCACAGAACUUUCCAAAAUUAAUGGAAGACAUCAAAUCACAGUUCCUGAAGCUCAAAGAUCACAAACCAGAAUAAAUGCAACAAACAAAUUAAACUAAACUAAAACAAAAUGAAACUAGGUAUAUAAUAAUCAAAAAUUUUAAAUCAAGGACAGAAAAUCUUCUGAAAAGCCAGAGAGGGAUAAAAGAUGUUACCUGUAUAGGAACAAGGAUAAGAAUUACAGCAAACUUCUCAUUAGAAACCAUGCAAGAAAGAAGAGAGUGAGUGAAAUUCUUAAAGGAUUGACAGAAAACAACAUAAAACCAGAAUUAGAAUUCUAUAUUUGGUGAAACUAUCUUUCAAACAUGAAGAAGAAAUAAAUGCUUUCUCAGAUGAACAAAAACAGGAAAAAAAAAAAAAAAACACCAGCAGACCUGCCUUGAAAGAAAUGAUAAAAGUUUUUCAGGCAGAAGGAAAGUGAUAUAAGUCGAAGAAACAUGGAUCUACAUAAAGAAAAAAGAGCAACACAGAGGAAAUAAAGGUAAUAAAGUAAUUAAUUCAUCUUAAUUUAUAUAAAAGAUAAUAGUUUGUCCAAAGCAUGAGUAAUAAUGAUGUAUUGAGUGAUUAAGCACAUGGAUUAAUAAAAUGAAUAAGAGCAAUAUCUCAAGGAAUAAGAAAUUGGAAAUACUCUCUUGUAAGGCACCUGCACUACGUGAGGAAUAGUAUAAUGUUAUUGGAAGGAGGUGGAAGAAGGAUAAAUAUUAGUUAAAAAUUAUAUUACAACCUCUAGGGCAACCACAAAAAUUUGUAAAAAGACAUAUAAUUGAUAUGCUAAGAAAGGAAGUAAAAUGGACUUAUAUGAAAUAUUUAAUUAAAAAUCAGAAGGCAGAUAAAUGAGGAAAUAAAACACAAAACAAAGGCAUCAAAUAUAAAGUUUAAAAAGUGGCACAUAUUAAUCCAAGUAUGUCAAUAAUUAAUUUAACAUAAAUAGUUUAAAUAUACCAAUCAACAGAUUUUCAGCCACUUAAAAAACAAACAGAACAAACUAAAUGUUAUCUAUAAGAAACCCAUUUCAAAUAUGGCAACUCAGGUUAAAAACAAAAGAAUAGAAUAAUCUUUGCCAUACUAAUACUAACGAAAGAAAGCUACAGUAGGCAUAUUAAUUACAGACAAUGCAGACUUCAAAACAAGGACUAUUACUAGGGAUAAAAGAGGGCAUUACUUAAUGAUAAAGAGGUAAAUUAUCCAAGAGAUAUAACAAUCCUUAAGAUGUAUGCAUCUAAUAAAAAAGCAUCAAAACACGUGACUCAAAAAAAACUGCCACUGCUUAACGGAGAGAUAGACAAAUCUACCAUUAUAAUUGGAGACUGUAUAAAGACAUAAUUCUCAUAAUGCUAUAAAUACAUAAUUGACUCACAGUUCCACAGGCUGUACAGGAAGCAUGGUUGGGGAGGCCUUAGAAAACUUACAAUCAUGGCAGAAGACAAAGGGGAAGUCAGCAUGUCCUAUAUGGCUGCAGCGGGAAGAAGAGAGGGUGAAAGGGGAAGUGCUACAUACUUGCAAUCAACUAGAUCUCAUGAGAUCUCUACUAUGAGAAUAGCAAGGGGAAAGUUUGCCCCCAUGAUUCCAUCGCCUCCCACCAGGCCCCUCCUUCAACACGUGGGGAUUACGAUUUGAGAUGAGAUUUGGGUGGGGACACAGAGCCAAACCUUAUUAGAGACUUCUGUAAACAUCUGUCAGUAAUUGAUAGACCAAGCAGACAGAAAAUCAAUAAGGAUAUAGAUGACCUGAAUACCACUAUUAAUCAGCCUCAUCUAAUUUAUAGGAUAUGCCAUCCAAAACAGCAGGUUUAUCUCAUGCUUGGGUGGAACAUUCACCAAGAUAGACCAUAUGCUGAGCCAUAAAAAACACUUUAACAAGUUUAAAAGAAUAGAAAUCAUACAAAGUAUAGGCAUACAUUGGAGAUACUGUGAGUCUGGUUUCAGACCAUCACAAUAAAGUGAAUACUGCAAUAAUACGAGUCACACAAAUUUCUUGGUUUCUAGUGCAUAUAAAAAUUGUAUUUAUACCAUACUGUAAUAUAUUAAGUGUGUAAUAUCAUUAGGUCUGGAAAAAAAAGUAUAUACAUUAAUUUAAAAAUAUUUUCUUGCUAAAAAAUGCUAAUGAUCAUCUGAACUUUCAGAAAGUCAGAAUCUUUUAGCUGGUGGAGGGUUUUGCCUUGAUGUUGAUGGCUGCUGACUAAUCAGGGUGGUAGUUGCUGAAGUGGCUGUGGCAAUUUCUUAAAAUAAGACAAUAAUAAAGUUUGCUUUGUCAAUUGACCCUGCUUUUCACAAAUGAUUUCUCUGUAGCAUGCAAUGCUAUUUGAUAGCAUUUUACACACAGUAGAACUUCUUCCAAAAUUAGAGUCAAUCUUCGCAAACCCUGCUGCUGCUUUAUCAACCAAGUUUAUGUUGUCAUUUCAACAAUGUUCACAACAUUUUCACCAGGAGUAGUUUCCAUCUCAAGAAACCACUUUCUUUUCUCAUGUCUAAGAAGCAGCUCCUCAUAUGUUCAAGUUUUGUUAUGAGAUCACAGCAAUUCAGUCACAUCUUCAGACUCCACUUAUAAUUCUAGUUCUUUUGCUAUUUCUACCACAUUUGAAGCAAUUUCCUCCACUGAAGUCUUUGGCCACUCAAAGUCAUUCACAAGGGUUGGAAUCAACUUCUUCCAAACUCCUGUUAAUACUGAAACAUCGACUUCCUCUUAUGAAUUAUGGAUGUUCUUGAUGACAUCCCAAAUGAUGAAUCCUUUCCAGAAAGUUUUCACUUUACUUUGCCAAGAUCCACCAGGAAAUCACUAUCUAUGGCAGCUAUAGCCUUAUGCAAUGUAUUUCCUAAAUAAUAAGACUUGAAAGUUGAAAUUAGUCCUUGGUCCAUGGGUGGUAGAAUGGAUGUUGUGACAGCAGGCAUAAAAACAACAUUCAUCUCCUUGUACAUCUCCAGCAAAGCUAUUGGGUGACCAGGUGCAUUGUCAAUGAGCAAUAAUAUUUUGGAAGGAAUCUUUUUCUGAACAGCAGGUCUCAAUAGUAAGCUUAAAAUAUUCAGCAAACCAUGCUGUAAACAGAUGUGCAGUCAUCCAGGCUUUGUUGUUCUAUGUAGACAACACAGGAAGAGUACAUUUAGUGUAAUUGUUAAGGACUCUAGGAUUUAUGAGAUGGUAAAUGAGCAUUGCUUUCAACUUAAAGUAACCAGCUGUAUCCGCCCCUAAAAAAAAGUCAGCUUGUCUUUUGAGGCUUAGAAGCCAGGCAUGGACUCCUCUCUAGCUGUCAAAGUCCUAGAUGGCAUCUUCCAAAAUAAGGCUGUUUCAUUAACAUUGAAAAAUCUGUUGUUUGGUGCAGCCACCUUCAUCAAUUAUGUUAGUUAGAUCUUCUGGACAACUUGUGCAGCUUCUACAUCAGCACUUACUGCUUCACCUUCCACUUUUAUGUUAUGGAGACAGCAUCUUUCCUCCUGAACCAACCUCUACUUGCUUCCAACUUUUCUUUUGCAGUUUCCUCACCUCUGUCAGUCUUCAUAGAAAUAAAGAGAGUUAGGGCCUCGCUCCGGAUUGGGCUUUGUCUUAAGGGAAUGCUGUGGCUGGUUUGAUCUUCUAUCCAAACCACUCAAACUUUCUCCACAUCAGCAAUAAGGCUGUGUCACUUUUUUUUAUCAUUCAUGCAUUGACUGGUGUAGCACUUUCAAUUUCCUUCAAGAACUUUUUUUUCACUUACAACUUGUCUAACUGUUUGGCACAGUGGCCUAGCUUCUGGCCCAUCUCAGCUUUCAACAAGCCUUCUUCAUUAAACUUAAUCAUUUCUAGCUUUUUAUUUAAAGUGAGAGAUGUGUGACUCUACUUUCACUUGAACAGUUAGAGGUCAUCGUAGGGUUAUUAAUUGGCCUAAUUUUAAUAUUGUUAUGUCUCAGAGAAUAGCAAGGCCCAAAGAGAUAGAGAGAGAGAGGGACAGAAAAAUGGUUGGUCAGUAGAGCAGUCAGAAUACACACCACACUUAUCAAUUAAGUUUGCCAUCUUAUAUGGUCAGAGCUCAUGACACCCAAAACAACUACAAUAGUAACAUCAAAGAUCAAUGAUCACAGAUCACUAUAACAGAUAUAAUAAUAAUGAAAAAGUUUGAAAUAGUGUAAGAAUUACUAAAUAUUACACUGAGACACAACACAAGCACCCACUAUUGAAAGAAUGGUGCCAACGGUCUCACUCAAUGCAGGAUUGCCACAAACCUUCAAUUUGUAAAGAACUCAGUAUCUGCAAAGUGCCAUCCAGCAAGGUAUACCUGUAUGUUCUCAGAGCACAAUGAAAUUAAACUAAAUAUCCGUAACAGAUACCAGGAAAUCCCAAAAUAUUUGGAAAUUAUACAGUAUGCUUCUAAAUAAUCCAUGAGUAAAAGAUGUCUCAAGAGAAAUCAAAAUUUAUUUGGAACUAAAUAAAAAUUAAAUACAAAUUACUAAACUUUGUGGGAAGUAGUGAAAGCAUGUGCUUGGAAGGAAACUUCUAGCAUUAAAUUCAUAUAUUAUUAAAGAAGAAAUAUCUCAAACCAAUAAUCUAAGCUUUCACCUUAAGAAACUGAAAUCAAACAUAAGCCUAAAUCAAGUAGAAAUAAAAGAAAUAAUAAAAAUUAGAUCAAGGAAUUUCUGCUUCUGAAGAAGAUAAAGUUAGUGUACUUUCCCCUAUUUUUCCACUAAGUACAUCUAAAAACCCAAGAAGACUCUGAAAGGUAGAGGGGAGAAGGCAGCCUGACUAAGGCAUGGGCUCUGCAGAAUAACGUAGUGCUGAGUUCCCUGGAUUUUCUUUGUGUUUCAUAAAUUCCAGACUAGAAGCUAAAGAAACUGACACCCCAGAAAUGCCAAAGGACAAAGGAAAAAUCUUUUUGGAAAAACAGAAAAUCUUCAGGCAAUGACUGCUCUACUCUAGCCAACACACAGCAAAUCUGUGGCCUCACCUCUACUCAAUAUCAGCAAAGGUUGGAUGAGGAAGCCUAAAUUUCCAUCCUUGCAAAGAUGUUACAAGACACGACAACAUUCCCGCUGGGGUAAUGUCAGAGAAGAUCAAAUAGGUAGCCAGUACUUUCAUCCCACCAUCUGGUAGGGAGUGUCCACCCACUACCACUCUGUCAGUGGAGACCAUAUGAAGAACCUGGACUUACACUCAUACCUGGCAGUAAACAGGAGUCCCUCUUCCUCACUACUGGGUUGGUGUCAAGUAGACCUAGUGGAAAGUCAGGACUUUCACCAUCACCCAGUAGUAACCAGGUGUCCCCACAGCAGUGUCAUGGAAGACGGCGCAGGGAACCAGAACUCCCAAACCCACAAGGCAGGAAUGAGGGGCUCACCCUCGGUCACCAGUGGAGGCAGAGUUGGAAACCCUAAACUUCACCCCUACUUGGCAGCAAGGAGGUGGUGCCCCUGCCCCACCCUCUGUCAGAGAAAUGUCAAAGAAAGCUAGGUAAAACAGAAGGCUUAAAGAAGAUCCAUAGUCUCAGAAUGUAAUACAAAAAUGUUCAAGUUUCAAAUGAAAAUUACUCAUUACACUGAGAAUCAGGGUCAUCUUAAACUGAAUGCAAAAAUAAAAUCAAUAGAUGCCAACACCAGAUAACAGAGAUGUUAGAAUUAGUGUGAUUCUAAAGCAGUGUAAUAAAAAUGUUUCAAAGGGCGAUUACAAAUAUGCUUAAAAAAAAUAAAAACAAACUUAAAACUAGAAAGCCUAAACAAAAAUAUGAUGUCUCAGUGAAGAAAUAGAUGGUAUAAAUUUAAAAAAUGGUAAUUUUAGAAUUGAAUAUUAUAGUAAUGGAAUACGAAGCUCAAUAAAUGAUGCAUAUGGACCAAACAACAGAGUUGCAAAAUAUGAGAAGCAAAAAUUGAUACAAUCAGAAGGAGAAAUAAACAAAUCCACAAUUAUAGUUGGAGGCUUCGACACCUCUUUCUUAACAAUUGACAGAACUAGACAGAAAAUCAACAAGGAUAUAGAAGAACUCAACAACACUAUCAACCAACAGGAUUCAAUCAACAUUUAUAAGACACUCUAACUAACAACAGCAGAAUACAUCUUCUUUCAAGUUCUCACAAAAAAAUAUGAAAAUAGACUACAUCCCUGGGCAUGAGAUAAACCUUAAUAAAAUUUUAAAAAAUUGACAUCAUAGAGUAUGUUCCUGAUUACAAUUAAACCAGGACAAAAAAAGAAAGAUAAUAGGAAAAUCUCCAAAUAUUUAAAACUAAAGAACACACUUCUAAAUAAUCCAUGAGUAAAAUAAUAGGCCUCAAGAAAUAUUAUAAAAAAGGCAUUAACUGAAGAAAAACAAUAAUGGAACAAAUCAAAAAUUUUGGAACACAACCGAAGCCAUGCUGAAAGGAAAAUUUGUGGCACCAAAAUCCCUACGCUGGAAAUAAGGAAAAGUCUUAAAUCAGUCACAUAACUUUCUGCCCACAGAAUCUAUAAAAAAGAAGAACAAAAUAUACUCAAAGCUAGCAAAGGAAGGACAUAAUAAUUAUCAGAGCAGUAAUCAAUGCAAUUGAAAACAGGAAAGCAAAAGAAAGAAUAAAUUAAACAAAAAGGUGGCAAGGAUGUAGAGCAACAGUAAUUCUCAUCCAUUUCUGGUGGAAAUGCAAAAUGGUACAGCCAUGUUGGAAGACUGACAGUUUCUUACAAAGCUAAACACAGUCUUGCCAUGUAUGAUCCAGCAAUGACUCUCCUAGGUAUUUACCCAACCAAUUUGAAAAUACGUGUCCACACCAAAAAAACCUGAACAUGCAUGUACAUAUUACAGCACAUGUUCAUUCAUAAUCACCAAAACCUAGAAGUAGCCAAGAUGUCCUUCAAUAGGUAAAUCAAUAAACUGUGCCAUAUCCACACUAUGACUGUUAUUCACUGCUAAAAAAAAAUGAGGUAUCAAUCUAGGAAAAGACGUGAAUAAAUUUCAAAUGCAUAUUGUCCAGGUCUACAUAUUAUAGGAUUCCAUUUAUACACCAUCUGGAAAACCACUGGCAAUGCAGAUCAAUGACUCUAGAGGAUUUGAGGUGGCCCUCAAAAAGAUGAAGCAUAGGGUUUUUUUUUAGGAUGAUGAAACUAUUUUCUAUGAUACUGUAAUGGUGGCUACAUGAUAAUAUGCAUUUAUCAAAACCCAUAGACAGCACGAAAAGUGAACCUUAAUGUAUUUACAUUUUAAAAGAAUCAUUUAGGAAGUUAUAUUUCCCAGGAUGGAAUGCAUAUUGUGACCAAAGAAUUGACCUGUAUUAUUCCCCCAUACCUGGCAUUACAAAAGUAUGAAUAUACUUUACUGAAGAGGUUAGGAGAAAUGUGUAGACAAGUAACUUUGGAAAUGAGUGGAGUCUGUAAGACUAAAGGCAAAAGGAACUACACAUAAGCACUAUUCCCUAGUUGAUACAGUUGUUUCAUAUGGGGGAAGGGGCUCAAGGUUCUGAAACUGCUACACAUUUAUACUCUAAUCGAACUAUUAAGUAAAUGAGAGUCAGAUUUCUUACUAUUGGAGUGGGAGGUUACAGUUAAGCAAAGGGGGAGGCUAAAAUGAUCUAUGUGGUAGUGGAUUAAAGUUGGUGACCUCAGGAUGAGCUUAUGUUUAGCUUUACCUAGAUACAGAUGGUAACAUAUAGAAUAUAUAUGUUAGCAUUAACACUAUAUUUCAUGUUGUCAUGUGAGAAUGUCUGAAAGAAAUGACACUCCAGUAGCAGUGAACACAUAUAGCAUACAGAUCUUGAUUUCUAACAUCAACCUUCAACAAAAGAAACCAGAGUUCCUUGAAGAAAUGACUGAAUCUAGGAUUGAAGGAGAAGAUAUAUGUAAGAUGAUCCUGGAGCCUCUUUUAGUGCCAAAAAGUAAGAAAGAGCCCCCACCAAAACCUACAUGAAUAGGGGCACGUUAAAAGGGCACAGAAGCCAACUGAAAGAGCUUCCACUGGCCAAAGCUGGAGCGAUUUGAACAAGAUAAAGUUGUAUUAUAUUAUCACCCAAAGUAUAAAGUAAUCAUAAAUAAAAUUAAUGCUGGUAUAAAUAAAUGAUCCAAUACAUAGAUAGUGAAGGAAAAGAGGCAUCUCUCAUGUGGAAGAAUUCCAAAUAAUUUACGUAGUUACUUACGUAGUUACUCAAGGAAGAGAGUGUGUAACUCUCUACUUCGUAAGAGUGGACUACAACUAAGGACUUCCUUCCAAAAACUACAGCAGGUAAAGGGGAAAAAGAGCCAGUCUACGAUGGAAAAACCUGACCAACACUACCUCGGCUAAAUCAUCAAGGCGAACAUUAACAGUCAUGAAUCAUAAUUAACAAUAUGUACCCUUCACAAUAUGAGGAAAACAGCACUUUACCUCUGUGGUCUUCCUCCAAAAAACCCACUACCCCAGUCUAAUUAUGAGAAAAAUAUCAGGCAAAUUUUAAUUAAGGGACAUUCUACAAAAUAUCUGAUCAAUACUCCUCAACACUGUCAAGGUCAUCAAGAACAAGGGGUCUGAGACAGUGUCGCAGCUGACAGAAGCCUAAGGAAAUGGGGCCACUCCAUGUAAUGUGGCAUCCUUCAUGUGAUCCUAGAGCAAAAAAGGGGGGCAUUAGGUAAAUCUAAGGAAAUGUGAAUAAAGUAUGGGCUUCAGCUAGUCAUAUCCUGUCAAUAUCGGUUCAUCAAUUAUGACAAAUACUAACAUACAAUUAUGUACAAUAUACAAUACAAUUAUGACCAUACUAAUAUAAAAUAGUAAUCACCCAAACUGGGUAUCUGUUACAUGAGAAUUCUAUAUUAUCUUCACAAACGUUCUGUAAACCUAAAACUAUUGUAAAAUUUCAAAAUGCAUAUAAAUAUAAAAUGAAAAAAUUAUAAAUAUAUGUAAUGAAAAAAAGGUACAGGAAACCAGGGUGUGUCUAACCAGAAUUUAAGCUUAGGGUUUCAUAAACUUACACAUUUAACUAUUAUUUUUCCAAAAUUAACACAUCCUGUUUUGAAUAAAGGAAUUGAAAAGGACACUUGCGUAGUUGCAAAAUCAGAGUCCUAAAUUGCUUGCAAAUAAAUUCUGCAUUGGUAUCCUUAAGUCCACAUAGAACUGAGAGCUGGUGAGCAAAAUGCAGGCAUCUACUGCUUAACAGAAGAAUCCCUUGAAAAUCAGACAUCUUCAUAAAAACCAAGAUCCUAUUUUCUACUGUAUUUAAGGCAAAUCAUAGAAACAAAAAUACCUCCCCCUAAUUUUCUUGAAGAUCACUAAAACACUGCAAAACACCCACAUGUAAAUAACAAACUGUCAAGUUAAAACUGUAACCACCAACACGACUGUUACCCGUUGUUUUGGAUGCCGCAAAGGGUCUUAGAUAAAAGCAAGAACAUUUGAGAAGCACAAUGCCUUUAACACUCAGCACUUUUUAACGACAUCCACAGUGAUUUGCACAUUCUACCAAUUACAUUUGGGACGCAAUUGAGGCUUUUGCUGCA